CAUAAUUAACAUAAAUAAAUAAAAUGCUGUGGGCGAUAUUAUCGAUAGUUAUUUCUCACAGAUCGACAUUAUCUACUAUGACGUCACGGACGGCCAGAUGGCUGCGUGAUAACGCAAAUGCGUUCGGAGGUCCCAGAUCCGGCAUUCCACCAAAACAGUUUUUUCGGGAUUCCGGGCGCUGGCUGGCGGUCCCUAGUCUUCACUAUCUGGCCCCCUCCAAGGAUGCGAGUGCAGUCCGUGGUUGGAACUAAUUCCGCCCCUUAGUAAUACCAUUGAUAGUAAAAGGGCAUAAAAACAGUUUUUUCGGGAUUCCGGGCGCCGGCUGGCGGUC
rnacentral:lncRNA from 1 species